UACAGAGGGUGCGAGCGUUGUCCGGAAUCACUGGGCGUAAAGGGCGCGUAGGCGGCCGAUUAAGUGUGUGGUGAAAGCCCGGGGCUCAACCCCGGGUCUGCCGUGCAAACUGGUUGGCUUGAGCACUGUAGAGGCAGGUGGAAUUCCGGGUGUAGCGGUGGAAUGCGUAGAGAUCCGGAAGAACACCGGUGGCGAAGGCGGCCUGCUGGGCAGUAGCUGACGCUGAGGCGCGACAGCGUGGGGAGCAAACAGG
rnacentral:rRNA from 1 species